rnacentral:rRNA from 1 species
UACGUAGGGAGCAAGCGUUGUCCGGAAUCAUUGGGCGUAAAGAGCGCGUAGGUGGCUUUAUAAGUCCGUUGUGAAAGUCAAAGGCUCAACCUUUGAAAGCCGAUGGAUACUGUGAAGCUAGAGUACGGAAGAGGCGAGUGGAAUUCCUGGUGUAGCGGUGGAAUGCGCAGAUAUCAGGAGGAACACCAAUAGCGAAGGCAGCUCGCUGGGACGUUACUGACGCUGAGGCGCGAAAGCGUGGGGAGCGAACAGG